rnacentral:lncRNA from 1 species
CAGAGCCAAGGAAGCUGCACAGGGACAAGGGCUGAUGAUAUUGAAAGUUCAUAUGGAUCAGUGUGUUUCCCACCAGAACCAGAUGUGAAUACCCUUUCACUGAAAACUCCAUGUUCUUUGGCUUCAGGAAAGAGCAAAAUCAAGCAUAGUGCUGCAACUGAUCUGGACGCUUCCUUCCUGAUGGCUGGCUUUCCUGAUGCUGGAAUGUGCCUUGCAGGUUCUGGGAGAGAAAAAUCAUUACAGGCUUAAGUUCCUGUGCUACAUGACUGACCUGCUGAGCAAUAUGCUACUGGAGUGAUAGUUUUAUGACCGUUAAGGGAAUAGUCAGCUGCUUUUGACUGAAUUUGAGGUCAGCUACACUUGGAAUUCACAUUCGGUUCUAGAAAGCUGUUCAGUAACCCUUGGCUGGGCAGCCACUAGGCCCUGCUGUGGAAGGUUCUACUGUUUUGCUAAAUGAGCACGUUGCACCCAGCAAAUUGCCUUCUAAAUAGUUAUGUCUAUGUCUACGUCUACAUAUUAGUGCUGCUCUCAGCUUCGGUCACACAAACUUCUUUUUCAGUUAGUGGCAGCUAUUGCAGCAGAGACUCAGGGUCAACAUGCUAAGAGUUGGUGACUGUUGAAGACUCAGCACUAAAUAUACAUCAAUAUCAUUCCAAGGCUCAGGGACCAUUGUGGAAGAUGGAGUGGAAAAAAAAAUCUAAGAGACAGUAGAGGUAGUGGGAACUGAUGGGACUCUGUCUUCAGGCAACAUCAUGUUCUACACACAUGAACUCAGAGCAGCACCUGAACAAGUCUGGGUACCUCAGCAUUGCAUUAUAGUGUUUAUACCUGUGGCAUGAUCAAAGAGGCCUAGUAAUGAAGAAAUUCUUGGCUGGCCAAGGUGCUGAGAGCAAGUGACUGAUCAGUGCUCAUAGAAUGUUGUAGAAGAAGGGGAUUGUGAGCACCAGACAAUGGUGGGGUGAGGAGGGCUGCGAUAAGCUAUCUUCAGGGAAAUGGCAUGACUAUGGUUCGCAUGAAUUCAGAGCAGCUACAGAUACCUGAGCCUCUACAAGACGGAGCCUAUAAACCUUCAUUCUCUUAACUGUGUGUUUCCCACCAGAGCUGGAUGUGAAGCCCCUGUUGGCUGAGAAUUCCACUGCUGUGGUUUUAGGGCAUAGAGAAAUCAAGGGGAAGCCAAGCUGGAAGCUUUCUCCCUCCUGGCUGAUCUGAUAGUGCCAGAGUAUGCUGUGAAUGAAGAUCCUGAGGGCAAAAAGUCACCGCCAAGCGUACUCAGUUCCAGGCCCUCUGCCACGAUAACUACCUGCUAGGCAUUAUACUUACCGUUGGAGUGAAGGGAAAGUCACAUGAAGAGUUCACACCGAGUCUCAGAGGAGCCAAUGAACAAAAUCUGGGACUAUAAAGACCAUGAAGUCCUUUGAAGAGUGACUAAGCGCAUUGUACACCGAGAUGCACAGGAGCCUGUAGAAACUAAGACAUUUGGAGCAGCAGGAUGCCAUUGAGAAGAGGUUGGGAAUGUUAAAGCUGUAAGUUCCAGUCCAUUCUCAGAAAGCUAACCAAGAGACGUCUUGUAUCAGAUCAACUCUCAGAAUCAGAAGGUCUCAGAGGGCAUAAGAGUGGGCCAGUUCCUACGUAAGAGUUGGUCCUUCAGCAUGUGGUUGCAGAUUACAUCUCCAAGGCUGAGGCAGGAACCUGGCUGCUUCCUCCAGCUGGAGCACUGGGUCUUGAUCUGUUUGUGCUAGUGGUUUAGAGGAAAGCUACAGUCUUCCUCCUCAUCUUCUUCCAUUAGUGGCCCUAUGAGUGUGACUAUAGAGUCAUCAAUCUUCCGUCAAAGUCAGG